rnacentral:rRNA from 1 species
UGGGGAAUUUUGGACAAUGGGCGCAAGCCUGAUCCAGCCAUGCCGCGUGUCUGAAGAAGGCCUUCGGGUUGUAAAGGACUUUUGUCAGGGAAGAAAAGGUUGUUGCUAAUAUCGACAGCUGAUGACGGUACCUGAAGAAUAAGCACCGGCUAACUACGUGCCAGCAGCCGCGGUAAUACGUAGGGUGCGAGCGUUAAUCGGAAUUACUGGGCGUAAAGCGAGCGCAGACGGUUACUUAAGCAGGAUGUGAAAUCCCCGGGCUUAACCUGGGAACUGCGUUCUGAACUGGGUGACUAGAGUGUGUCAGAGGGAGGUAGAAUUCCACGUGUAGCAGUGAAAUGCGUAGAGAUGUGGAGGAAUACCGAUGGCGAAGGCAGCCUCCUGGGAUAACACUGACGUUCAUGCUCGAAAGCGUGGGUAGCAAACAGGAUUAGAUACCCUGGUA